rnacentral:sRNA from 1 species
GACACAAGGGUCAAAAAGUCAUGCAUUUCAUGCUUGCAUGAAAAAGCAUGACUUAUUGACCCGCAAAACACUGAAAAGUAGCCAUUUUUCGUAAAAAAAUGAGCGGAUUUGAGGUGUUUUAGGAUUGCGGGAGCAUGAAAUGCGAAGCAAUCCGUGU